GUGACUGAUUUACCACAUGGUUUAGAGAGAUAGCACAGAAACUGCUGAAAAAUGGUUGUAAAAUUAUUUUAUUUAAAAAAAAUUCAACUUAAAAAUAUAUAAAAAAUACAUUUUGAGAGAUCAUUUCUUACUUUCCUUGAAUGUCAAUUUAUGCUGCAAAAUUUGACAUAAAACUUAUUUCAGAAAUAAUAAAAAAUAAUAAUUAUAAAACAAGAAAUUGAAAGAAACACUCUAUUCCACACACAUUCUAACACACACUAUGUAACUGACAUACCAAAACAAUAAAUUAAAGGUUUCCUUUUAAAUAAUAUUUUUUGAGUUUUAUGUGCUCAUCCAACUCAAUCUCAAAUGGAAAUCUAGAUGAUGUCAAAAUUCAUUAUACUACAUAAUGUAUAUGCAUAUAAAAUGAUC
rnacentral:lncRNA from 1 species